rnacentral:tRNA from 1 species
GGGAGCUUAGGUAAGUGGUAUACCAGCGGUCUCCAAAACCGCAAUCGGAGGUUCGAUUCCUCCAGCUCCUGCCA